UUUUUCUUUUCUACAAAAUGCACUCUUGUCUGAGGAACAAUCCCUAAUAAAAAGGAUAAUACGUUUUGAGGGUUGUUCCCAACCUGAUAAAAUGCAGUUAAAACAGGUCAUACUACGGCCUUCAACACAGGGCUUUCCCCAGACCAAUCAACAAGCUAUAACAUACCACAAAAUGAAUAAUGUAAAACAGUUCAAACAGGAAAACCAACGGUCUACAAACGGACAAACACCUAUGAAUCACACCAACAAACGACAACUACUGCAUUGGUUUCGUUUUAGUUUCUUUGGUUGUCUCAUAUAUCCACGGAUAUAAUUAUAAGUGUCCCUGAUCACAAGUUGUAUAUCUGAGCACAGACGGAAAAUAUAUGUUAUCAUUGAGAGAAAUUUUUUAGCCAACUAUUAUUUGGCAUAUGCUGUUUGUGAGGGUUUUGGGGUGGGUUUUUUUUUUUUAGAAUUUUGUUGUAACCAAAACUUUGAUAAUUUAUCACGUCAUGACGACAUGA
rnacentral:lncRNA from 1 species